UACGUAGGGGGCAAGCGUUGUCCGGAAUCAUUGGGCGUAAAGAGCGUGUAGGCGGCCACUUAAGUCCUGCGUGAAAUCUUGCGGCUCAACCGCAAGCGGUCGUGGGAAACUGGGUGGCUAGAGUGCGGGAGAGGAGAGUGGAAUUCCUGGUGUAGCGGUGAAAUGCGUAGAGAUGUGGAGGAACACCGAUGGCGAAGGCAGCCUUCUGGGCCAACACUGACGCUCAUGCACGAAAGCGUGGGGAGCAAACAGG
rnacentral:rRNA from 1 species